CUGCAGGAUAUUGAAAUGCGUAGAGGAAAACCAUUGUAUUUGAAUGAAGAGCGUUAUGCUGCCCUAUCAUAUAUGGUUGCUUGUCAUGGUCUUGAUCGAAAUUCAAAGGUUCUAGGCCAGACUACAAUUGGGUCUGUCUUCGUGAUUUAAUAUGGAGUAUAUUUCGAGGCGAUUCCUUUGGCCACUACGACCGUUCAGAUUUUGCACUUGCUCAUAUUAUAACUCAUGCUGAAUUCACUGUCCUAGUUUUUCCCAACAGAGAAGUAUUUGACGCCUUGGAGACACUGGUAGAGAUGUCGGAUACAGGUCGUGUAGUUCUUGGUUUUCAAGAUACUCCGCAGGAAUGAAUUCUCAUCCACAAGUGUUUUCAGAGUUGAGAAUGACCCUUUAUUUCCGUAUGGAGCCAGGAGCCAGUGGCCCAGAGGAUAUCCAAGGUGCAUUAUUAUUACCUGAGCAGUAGGUUGAAAGUCGUUUGGAAAUUGACGUGUUUGAAGUGCGGUUGUACAUAGGGAGGUCACUUGGGGUGUUAGAAGGGGAACUUGGUGCAUUUCUGGUCAACUCAAUUUUUUAUUUUUUAUUGUAAAUUAUCAACUUCCGGUUUUAUAUAUUUCUUUUUGGGGGAAAAAAAUGAAAAA